AGCGAACGCUGGCGGCAGGCUUAACACAUGCAAGUCGAGCGGGCCCUUCGGGGUCAGCGGCGGACGGGUGAGUAACGCGUGGGGACGUGCCUUCUGGUCUGGAAUAACCCUGGGAAACUAGGGCUAAUACCGGAUACGCCCUUUUGGGGAAAGGUUUACUGCCGGAAGAUCGGCCCGCGUCUGAUUAGCUAGUUGGUGGGGUAACGGCCUACCAAGGCGACGAUCAGUAGCUGGUCUGAGAGGAUGAUCAGCCACACUGGGACUGAGACACGGCCCAGACUCCUACGGGAGGCAGCAGUGGGGAAUAUUGGACAAUGGGCGCAAGCCUGAUCCAGCCAUGCCGCGUGAGUGAUGAAGGCCUUAGGGUUGUAAAGCUCUUUUAUCCGGGACGAUAAUGACGGUACCGGAGGAAUAAGCCCCGGCUAACUUCGUG
rnacentral:rRNA from 1 species